UACGUAGGGUGCAAGCGUUAUCCGGAAUUAUUGGGCGUAAAGAGCUCGUAGGCGGUUUGUCGCGUCUGCUGUGAAAACUGGGGGCUCAACCCCCAGCCUGCAGUGGGUACGGGCAGACUAGAGUGCGGUAGGGGAGAUUGGAAUUCCUGGUGUAGCGGUGGAAUGCGCAGAGAUCGGGAAGAACGCCAAGGGCGAAGGCACUCUGCUAGGCCUGAUUUCGCGACUGACACUCAGGGACGAGAGCCAGGGGAGCGAAUGGG
rnacentral:rRNA from 1 species